UACGUAGGGUGCGAGCGUUUGUCCGGAAUUACUGGGCGUAAAGAGCUCGUAGGCGGUUUGUCGCGUCGUCCGUGAAAACUUGGGGCUCAACCCCAAGCUUGCGGGCGAUACGGGCAGACUUGAGUACUGCAGGGGAGGACUGGAAUUCCUGGUGUAGCGGUGAAAUGCGCAGAUAUCAGGAGGAACACCGGUGGCGAAGGCGGGUCUCUGGGCAGUAACUGACGCUGAGGAGCGAAAGCGUGGGUAGCAAACAGG
rnacentral:rRNA from 1 species